rnacentral:rRNA from 1 species
ACUGGUUGAUCCUGCCAGUAGUCAUAUGCUUGUCUCAAAGAUUAAGCCAUGCAUGUCUCAGUACAUGCCGAAUUAAGGUGAAACCGCGAAUGGCUCAUUAAAUCAGUUAUGGUUCAUUAGAUCGUGGACACAUUUACUUGGAUAACUGUGGUAAUUCUAGAGCUAAUACAUGCAAACAGAAUUCCUCUCAGAGAUGGGAGGAAUGCUUUUAUUAGAUCAAAACCAAUCGGUGGCGGACGGCUCGUCCGUUCGUCCAUCGUUUGUUUUGGUGACUCUGAAUAACUUUGUGCUGAUCGCAUGGUCAUCUAGCACCGGCGACGCAUCUUUCAAAUGUCUGCCUUAUCAACUGUCGAUGGUAGGUUCUGCGCCUACCAUGGUUGUAACGGGUAACGGGGAAUCAGGGUUCGAUUCCGGAGAGGGAGCCUGAGAAACAGCUACCACAUCCAAGGAAGGCAGCAGGCGCGCAAAUUACCCACUCCCGNCACGGGGAGGUAGUGACGAAAAAUAACGAUACGGGUGGAGGUCGCUAGAUGGUCCCGUAAUCGGAAUGAGUACACUUUAAAUCCUUUAACGAGGACCAAUUGGAGGGCAAGUCUGGUGCCAGCAGCCGCGGUAAUUCCAGCUCCAAUAGCGUAUAUUAAAGUUGUUGCGGUUAAAAAGCUCGUAGUUGAAUCUGUGUGUCACAGUGUCGGUUCACCGCUCGCGGUGUUUAACUGGCAUUAUGUGGUACGUCCUAUCGGUGGGCUUAGCUCCUUGCGGGCGGUCCAACUAAUAUCCCAUCGGGUGCUCUUCACUGAGUGUCGAGGUGGGCCGAUACGUUUACUUUGAAAAAAUUAGAGUGCUUAAAGCAGGCUACCUUUGCCUGAAUACUGUGUGCAUGGGAUAAGUGGAGGUCGCUAGAUGGUCGGUUCUAUUUUGUUGGUUUUCGGAACCCCGAGGUAAUGAUUAAUAGGGACAGAUGGGGGCAUUCGUAUUGCGACGUUAGAGGUGAAAUUCUUGGAUCGUCGCAAGACGGACAGAAGCGAAAGCAUUUGCCAAAAAUGUUUUCAUUAAUCAAGAACGAAAGUUAGAGGU